AACGCGAAGAACCUUACCUGGGCUCGAAAUGGUGUGGACCGGGGUAGAAAUAUCCCUUCCUAGCAAUAGGUCGCACUAUAGGUGCUGCAUGGCUGUCGUCAGCUCGUGUCGUGAGAUGUUGGGUUAAGUCCCGCAACGAGCGCAACCCUUAUCUCCAGUUGCCAUCAUUCAGUUGGGCACUCUGGCGAAACCGCCUCGGAUAACGGGGAGGAAGGUGGGGAUGACGUCAAGUCCUCAUGGCCUUUAUGUCCAGGGCUACACACGUGCUACAAUGGCCGGUAUAAACCGCUGCAAACCCGCGAGGGGGAGCUAAUCGGAAAAAGCCGGCCUCAGUUCGGAUCGCAGUCUGCAACUCGACUGCGUGAAGCUGGAAUCGCUAGUAAUCGCAGAUCAGAAUGCUGCGGUGAAUACGUUCCCGGGCCUUGUA
rnacentral:rRNA from 1 species